rnacentral:rRNA from 1 species
GGAGGGUGCAAGCGUUAUCCGGAUUCACUGGGUUUAAAGGGUGCGUAGGUGGACUGGUAAGUCCGUGGUGAAAUCCCCAAGCUUAACUUGGGAACUGCCGUGGAUACUAUCAGUCUUGAAUAUCGCGUAGGUAAGCGGAAUAUGUCAUGUAGCGGUGAAAUGCUUAGAUAUGACAUAGAACACCAAUUGCGAAGGCAGCUUACUUCACGAUUAUUGACACUGAGGCACGAAAGCGUGGGGAGCAAACAGGAUUAGAUACCCUGGUAGUCCACGCCCUAAACGAUGAUUACUCGACAUCAGCGAUACACUGUUGGUGUCUGAGCGAAAGCAUUAAGUAAUCCACCUGGGAAGUACGAUCGCAAGAUUGAA